AUCAUAGAAUGGUUUGGAUUGGAAGAGACCUUUAAGACCAUCUGGUUCCAACCCCCCUGCUAUAGGCAGGGACACCUCCCACUAGAACAGGUUGCUUAAAGCCCCAUCCAGCCUGGCCUUGAAAUCCUCCUAAGUGAUGCUUACAAUGGAAUCAUAACUAAUGACAGAAGUUGCAGGUUGGAACAUUUAAGUGAAUUCGUUUCCAUGAGAACAGAUUGCUGAAGAAAUCAUUCAGCUUACAUUUUAUCAGACUGCUGAAUGAACUCUGGAUUUUUUUUGCAGUUCUAGGAGACCUUGUUGCUGUUGACACUGAAGCCGAGGCAAAAGAGAAUGCUGGGAAGAAGGAUACAAGCAGCUGCUCUGGAAGGAAAGAGCAGAUCCAGAGCUUUGGCAGAGCCCUAACCUACUGCACCAUGUUUGGCCCUAGUGCUGAGGCCUUUUCCUUUGGGCAGCGCUAUGCAAUCACUGGCACUUGCCCAGAGGCUGAGG